rnacentral:rRNA from 1 species
GGAUGCGAUCAUACCAGCACUAAAGCACCGGAUCCCAUCAGAACUCUGAAGUUAAGCGUGCUUGGGCGAGAGUAGUACUAGGAUGGGUGACCUCCUUGGAAGUCCUUGUGUUGCAUUCC